rnacentral:lncRNA from 1 species
UAUUUGUAUGGUGCAUUAAGCGCAUUGUAUGUUCUGUGAGGUGUUUUAGAUAUCGUGUUUGUUUCAUGAUAGAGCUAUACUCACAUGUUCGGUAUUCUACAGCUGAGUCAAUGGUUUGUGUGUUUAGCAUUCAUGCCUCACUGAGAGACUCUCAUAUUAUUCACCCCUCUUUUCUCUCCUUUUCAGAUAAGUUUGACAAA